AGGAAGAAAGAAAAAAAGAAAAGAAAAGAAUUAGUAGAUCUCUCUCUUUUCCUCUGCAGAAGAAGAAACGAAACGCCCAUUUCACGCUUCUCUCGCUAACUUUAGCCAAUGACCAGCCAUCGUCUACCGCACAACCACCUCCCUUCGAUCUCCGUCAAUCGUCUUGUCGUCGCUUCAAGUCCGCCACCGCUCAAGCCCUAUCGCCCGCUGGUAGAUCUCGUCGUCGAUCGAUGAGUCUGUCCAGCCAUGCCGCUGCCCAACUUUGAAGCUGCCAGUCUCCGCCACGCCUAUUCCAGACGCCACCGCCAGCCAGCUAGAUACGAGCUGCGUCGUCCAGAGCAAUCAAGGUGUUUCUAAAGGAUAAAAUUGGAGUUUUUGCGAGGUCUUAGACUGCUGUCCAGCGGGUCGGAAACAAUUCCGAUAAGAUUUUGGUGGGAUACCUAAAUUGUUUCCAUGACCCAUUGAAUGUUGGUUUCGCUCUUUGAUGUCGUUUGAAGUUUGGAACGAAGUUCUAAAGUCGGGAACGUGGGCGUUACAAGGAUCCCCUUUUGGAGGAUUUUGGGAAGUUUUUGGUGAAUUUUAGCACUCCUUUUGGAUGAAGGGUAAUUGUUGAAAAUUAAGUUAUUAAAUUUUGGAUUUGAGUUAUGUUUAGGUUAGUCAACUGAAUUGAGUUUUGGAACAAAUUUUGGACAAAGCCAUAAUUUCGGUCUUGAUUUAAAGUUGUGUUUGGCAAAAGGAAGAUAAGCUUACUUGGGUUUAAAUUCUGAAGUAAGUAAUCUUACUAUUGGAACCACCUUAAGUCAUGAUGCCUGAUUAGUGAGGAUAUAUGAACAUAUGGUUGUCCUGUUUGAAGUAUGUUAUAAGUAUGAGCAUGAUCUUAAUGUAUAAGAUAUUUUAUAAAAAUGUAUGAGCGUGAUCUAGAUCUUAAUUGACAUAUAUUUUAUAAGAAUUGCUAGCAACCAAAUUCCAAAUGAAAUAUUUGGGAGAGACUCAUGUUCUUGGAAUCCAAAUCGUUCAAAAUCGCAAGAACAGAAUAUUAGCCCUAUCUCAAGCAUCGUAUAUAGACAAGAUGUUGUCUAGAUAUAAACUGCAAAAUUCCAAAAGAGGUUUGUUACCAUGGAGUUCAUCUGUCGAAGGAACAAUGUUAUAAAAUACCUCAAUUGAGGAUAUGAGACCUAUUUCCUGCAUUAGCAAUUGGUAGUUUGAUGUAUGCUAUGUUAUGUACAUGACCUGACAUAUGCUACGUAGUGGGAAUAGUUAUCAGUUCAAUCCAAGAUAUGAUCAUUGGACUGCCGUUAAAAAUAUCCUUAAGUAUCUUAGGAGAACGAAAGACUAUUUGCUAGUGUAUGGUGCUAAGGAUUUGAUCUUUACAUGAUACAUUGACUAUGACUUUCAGAUCGAUAAAGAUUCAAGAAAAUCUACAUCAGGAUCAGUGUUCACUCUAAACGAGUAGUUUGGAGGAGUAUAAAGCAAAGUUGUAUUGCUGGCUCUACUGUGGAAGUUGAGUACGUAAUUGCAUGUGAAACGACAAAGGAAGUUCUAUGGCUUAAGAAGUUCUUGACGAAUUUGGAAGUGGUUCCAAAUAUGCAUCUGUCUAUAACUCUCCAUUAUGAUAAUAAUGGUGUAGUUGCAAAUUCUAAAGAACCCAGAAGCCAUAAGUGCAAGAAGCACAUUGAGCUCAAAUAUAAUCUCAUCAAGGAGAUUGUGUAACAAGAAGACAUGAUCAUCAAACAAAUAGCCUCGGAGCACAACAUUGUUGAUUUGUUUACAAAAGCCUUCACGACUAAAGUGUUUGAGGGUCACCUAGUGAGUCUAAGACUAAGAGUCAUGUAAAUUUAGGGCAAGUGGAAGAAGCCAUAGGUAUGUGAUGUUCUAGUUUAUUAUAUUUAUGUUUUUUUCUCUCAUGCUCAUGUAAAUGACCCCACUGGAGUUUGUUGGAAUUGAUGCCCUAAAUCUCAUAGGUCUUCUAGUUUGUAAUUUUAAUGUACAAAUAUUUUAUUAUUUAAUAAAAUAUGAGAUGUUUUAUUCGA